GUAGGUGGCAAGCGUCGUCCGGAAUUAUUGGGCGUAAAGCGCGCGCAGGCGGUUCUUUAAGUCUGAUGUGAAAGCCCACGGCUCAACCGUGGAGGGUCAUUGGAAACUGGAGAACUUGAGUACAGAAGAGGAAAGCGGAAUUCCACGUGUAGCGGUGAAAUGCGUAGAGAUGUGGAGGAACACCAGUGGCGAAGGCGGCUUUCUGGUCUGUAACUGACGCUGAGGCGCGAAAGCGUGGGGAGCAAACAGGAUUAGAUACCCUGGUAGUCCACGCCGUAAACGAUGAGUGCUAAGUGUUAGGGGGUUUUCCGCCCCCCUUAGUGCUGCAGCUAACGCAUUAAGCACUCCGCCUGGGAGUACGGCCGCAAGGCUG
rnacentral:rRNA from 1 species